rnacentral:misc_RNA from 1 species
GAUGAAGAACGUAGUGAAAUGCGAUACGUAAUGUGAAUUGCAGAAUUCAGUGAAUCAUCGAGUCUUUGAACGCACAUUGCGCCCCCUGGUAUUCCGGGGGGCAUGCCUGUCCGAGCGUCAUUGCUGCCCUCAAGCACGGCUUGUGUGUUGGGCCUCCGUCCUCCUCCCGGGGGACGGGCCCGAAAGGCAGCGGCGGCACCGCGUCCGGUCCUCGAGCGUAUGGGGCUUCGUCACCCGCUCUUGUAGGCCCGGCCGGCGCUUGCCGACACAUCAAUCUUUUUUCCAGGUUGACCUCGGAUCAGGUAGGGAUACCCGCUGAGCUUAAGCAUAUCAAUAAGCGGAGGA